rnacentral:rRNA from 1 species
CGGCGGACGGGUGAGUAACGCGUGGGUAACCUACCCUGUACACACGGAUAACAUACCGAAAGGUAUGCUAAUACGGGAUAAUAUAUUUGAGAGGCAUCUCUCGAAUAUCAAAGGUGAGCCAGUACAGGAUGGACCCGCGUCUGAUUAGCUAGUUGGUAAGGUAACGGCUUACCAAGGCGACGAUCAGUAGCCGACCUGAGAGGGUGAUCGGCCACAUUGGAACUGAGACACGGUCCAA